GCCGCGCGCAGCGUCUUCUGUGAUUUCUAACGGCUCGGUUCUCUCAAGUCUGCACUCGAUGCAUCCUCGAUAUCAAGAACACAUCCGGGCACUUCCAUGCGUCCUCUGUACUUGCGUUCUUGAGAAUUGGAAUUGAACUUCGACGGUUAAUGAUGACGAUCCUCAAGGUCUAAGCGAAACCACAUCACCCCGCCUCCAUUCAGAUUGACGCGCCGUGCACAGCCUGUAGGAGACAGAUCUCCGCUUUUUCGCAAUGCAAGGAGCGUUUUUAUGCAGUUUCCCGUCUGGUUGACUGGUUCUCGUCCUUGUUUCUCUGUGCUGUUUGAUUCGCUGUUGUCUUCCCCGGAACCCCGUCCACUCUUCACCACCGGAUGCACCUACUACCACCACGGACUGCUCAUCUCAGGCCUGUGUCACGCUCUCCUGCUGCAUCUACUCACCGCCACUUCCUGGAUCAUCGUUUGCCAUCGCUGUUACCACCUGUUGUUUUCCCUUGGACUCAGUUAUACAUUCCUGUUCUCAAUAAACUUUACAUUUAACUCUU